rnacentral:rRNA from 1 species
AUUGAACGCUGGCGGCAGGCUUAACACAUGCAAGUCAAGCGGAGAGAGGUAGCUUGCUACUGAUCUUAGCGGCGGACGGGUGAGUAAUGCUUAGGAAUCUGCCUAUUAGUGGGGGACAACAUUUCGAAAGGAAUGCUAAUACCGCAUACGUCCUACGGGAGAAAGCAGGGGAUCUUCGGACCUUGCGCUAAUAGAUGAGCCUAAGUCGGAUUAGCUAGUUGGUGGGGUAAAGGCCUACCAAGGCGACGAUCUGUAGCGGGUCUGAGAGGAUGGUCCGCCACACUGGGACUGAGACACGGCCCAGACUCCUACGGGAGGCAGCAGUGGGGAAUAUUGGACAAUGGGCGCAAGCCUGAUCCAGCCAUGCCGCGUGUGUGAAGAAGGCCUUAUGGUUGUAAAGCACUUUAAGCGAGGAGGAGGCUACUUUAGUUAAUACCUAGAGAUAGUGGACGUUACUCGCAGAAUAAGCACCGGCUAACUCUGUGCCAGCCGCCGCCGUAAUAC